rnacentral:rRNA from 1 species
UACGAAGGGGGCGAGCGUUGUGCGGAUUUACUGGGCGUAAAGGGCGCGCAGGCGGCUCAUUUUGUCAGGCGUGAAAGCCCCGGGCUUAACCUGGGAACUGCGUUUGAUACGGAUGGGCUAGAGUUCGGGAGAGGAGAGUGGAAUUCCCAGUGUAGAGGUGAAAUUCGUAGAUAUUGGGAAGAACACCGGUGGCGAAGGCGGCUCUCUGGACCGAUACUGACGCUGAGGCGCGAAAGCGUGGGGAGCAAACAGG